GCUGAGGUAGCCAAGCGGCCUACGGCGCUGGUCUUGAGCUUUCGUCCUCCUCCAGAGGGCGGAACGGGCAAACCAGUGGUGCAUCGCACCUCGUGAGUUCAAAUCUCACCCUCAGCG
rnacentral:tRNA from 1 species